UGGGGAAUCUUGCGCAAUGCGCGAAAGCGUGACGCAGCAACGCCGCGUGGGGGAAGAAGGCCUUCGGGUUGUAAACCCCUUUCAGUUGGGACGAAGCUUCACCUGUUAAUAGCUAAGUGGAGUGACGGUACCUUCAGAAGAAGCCCCGGCUAACUACGUGCCAGCAGCCGCGGUAAUACGUAGGGGGCAAGCGUUGUCCGGAAUCAUUGGGCGUAAAGAGCGUGUAGGCGGUUCGAUAAGUCCGCUGUGAAAGUCCAGGGCUUAACCCUGGAAAGCCGGUGGAUACUGUCGGGCUAGAAUCCGGAAGAGGCGAGUGGAAUUCCUGGUGUAGCGGUGAAAUGCGCAGAUAUCAGGAGGAACACCAAUGGCGAAGGCAGCUCGCUGGGACGGUAUUGACGCUGAGACGCGAAAGCGUGGGGAGCGAACAG
rnacentral:rRNA from 1 species